AAGAAGAAGAAGAAGCGGGAAUGCCAAAAUUUCAAGGCUUCCUCUCCAUUUUUUUUAAGGUUUUGGGCUAAUAAAAUACAUCAUGCUUCGUCUUCACCGUCUCUUUCAUUAUCUCUCUCGCUGUUCUCUUUCGCAUUCUUCUCUCUUUCGUUCUUCUGUAUCUUCUUCUUCAUUAAAACUUUUGAAUCGAUUCAAAAUUCUAGCUUUCUCCUUCGGUCGACUACGUAGUGCAAUUUUCUCCUUCGCGUUCGAGCUUAUGGACUGAUCAAAAUAUUAUAGCCUUCUCCUUCGUUUGACUAAUUCGUGCUUUGAAAUUUCAACCUUCUCUCCCUCAUUCGAUUGCAUCGUGCUUCAAACUUCUUUGUUAUGUUGUGCUUCGAUUUGAAAUUUCUGAGUUUUGUGCACCGAUGUGAGCUGUUCGUGAGGUGAGAAGAAGUUAUCCAAGUUGUCAUAGGUGAUAGUGUUGGAUAAGUGGAAAGAAGUGCAAGCAUCACACAAGAAAGCAGUGGCCGGAAAAUUAAUCAAAACAAGCUCAUCUCCAAGAAGAAAAGGAUAUAUCUUGAAGAAUGGUUCUAGCAAUUCUUCACACCGAUUCGUCCAAAAUCAUUGUAAGCUACCGUCAAAGCUUUUGUUGCAACUCCUUGAUUUUACAUCAAGGGACCAAACUUGACCAUUCAAAGGAAGGGAAGAUACAUUUUGAGGCUUGAAUCUAUGGAGAGAAAAUUGCAGAUGAAAAUGAAGAAGAAGAAGAAGAAGUACGUGAAGAAGAUGGAACACCAAGACUUUUUAAAGUGGUUCAGUCAUAAAGACCUAUGUCCACUGAUUACAGGAUAAGUUCCCUCACUCUUACUCUCAUCUUUAUAGCUCUAUUUUUAAUUAGUUCGAUGACAACUAGAGUUGAUAUUUUCUUCAACUUUUUUAUGACAGACGUAACUGAUUUUUAUUCCAAUUUAAGAGUGGAGUUUAUUUGACAAAGUGUCUUCAUCAAUUCAAGCAAGCAGGGAUAAGGAACUUCUUAGAUUUUUUUGAUGUUACUAAUGGAUACAUUAUUUUAAAAAGGUGGAGACUAAAGGAUACUUGCGUAUCUUGAGGAAACUAGAAAGUAUGUUGAGGUUGCAUUAUUUUUUUCUUUAUCUUCAUUUAAUUUGUACAACAUGUCGAUCUCACAAAAAAUAAGGUUAUUUUUAUGGAAUGUUGUAGUGAUUGAAGUAUCCCAUUAUGAGCGAUAUUUCUACUAUUAAAAAUUUAUUUUGAUGUAAAUGUACUUGCAUACAAUAUUAUAGAUUUCAA